rnacentral:rRNA from 1 species
GACGAACGCUGGCGGCGUGCUUAACACAUGCAAGUCGAACGAAGUGGCGAACGGGUGAGUAAUACGCGAGUAACUGCCCUCCUUUUUGGGAUAAGCCUUGGAAACGGCUGCUAAUACCGGAUAGUGGGGGAUGACUCGUGUCCUAUCAGCUUGUUGGUGGGGUAGUGGCCUACCAAGGCGAAGACGGGUAGCCGGCCUGGGAGGUGGGGCGGCCACAUUGGGCGGAGAUACGGCCCGAACUCCUACGGGGGGCAGCAGUGGGGAUUAUUGCACAAUGGGGGAAACCCUGAUGCAGCAACGCGCGGGCGGGAUGACGGCCUUCGGUUUGUAAACCGCUUUCAGCCAUGACGCGGUAGUGGCAGAAGAAGCACCGGCUAACUACGUGCCAGCAGCCGCGGUAAUUC